rnacentral:rRNA from 1 species
CUUAGUAGGAAUUUAAUUAAUUUUUGAAUUAAUUUGUUUUAAUAGAAAUAACUUUUAUUUUAGUAGAUUUUAUUGAAUAAAUUAUUAUUUUUAUAGUUGAUAGUACUGUGAAGGAUAAUUUCUUUUUAUAAAUAAAGUAGAAUUUAUUUUUUGUACCUUUUGUAUCAGGGUUAAUCAAUUUAUUUAACUUAGAGUUAUUUUCCCGAAAUGAAAAGAGAUAAGAAUUUAUGGAUUUAAUGUUUCAAAAUUAUUUGUAAUAGAUUCUUAGGAAUGAAAUGUUAUUCGUUUUUCAUAUAUCUGGUUUUCUUAGAAUUAAAUUUAAUUUAGGUCAUAUUUUAUAUUAAAAUAAUUUAUUAUUGGUUUAUGAAUUGUGACAAAUAUUUUUGGGGAUAAGCUCGGAAAUAAUUUUAUAACUUUUAUUUAUUAGAAUUAUUGUAGGCUUAGAAUCAGCCAUCAUUAAUUUCGUUAUAGAAUAUAUUUAUAAUUAUUUUAUUUAUUUAAUGUUUAAGUUUUUAUAAGAAUUAAUCAAUUAAUUUUUAAUUGAUUGUAAUAAUGAUUAAAUUAGUAUGUUAUUUAAUUAAAUUAUAGUAACUCGGCAAAUAUUGUACUCGCCUGUUUAACAAAAACAUGUCCUUUUGUAUUUAUAAAUAUAAGGUCUAACCUGCCCUAUGAUAUAUUAAAUGGCCGCGGUAUUUUAACUGUGCUAAGGUAGCAUAAUCACUUGUCUUUUAAUUAAAGGCUAGAAUGAAUGGUUGGACGAGGUACAAGCUUUCUUUAAUUUAAUUAAUUGAAUUUAAUUUUUUAGUUAAAAAGCUAAAAUUAAUUUGAGGGACGAGAAGACCCUAUAGAUCUUUAUAUAUUUAUUUAUUAUGUAUUUUAGUGAAUUAAUUAUUUUUAAUAAUUGAAUUUAUUUGGUUGGGGCGACUGUAGAAUAUGUUAAACUUCUAUUUUUAUUUAUUCAUAAAUUAGUGUUUUAUUGAUCCAGUUUUAUUGAUUAAAAUAUUAAGUUACCUUAGGGAUAACAGCGUAAUUUCUUUGGAGAGUUCUUAUCGAUAAAGUAGUUUGCGACCUCGAUGUUGGAUUAAAAUAAGUGGUAGGUGCAGAAGCUUACUAACUAGGUCUGUUCGACCUUUAAUUUUUUACAUGAUCUGAGUUCAGACCGGCGUGAGCCAGGUCAGUUUCUAUCUUCAAAUUUAUAAUCAGGACUUAGUACGAAAGGACCCGUUCUGAGGAAUAAUUUUUAAUUAUUUGAUUUCUAUA